CAAAAUCCCACAAUCCAUCGUCAAACCUAUCUCCCUUUCUCUGCAAUUCCAUUCGUUCUCUCUCUCUCUCUUUCUCUCUUACCCAAUUCUCGUUCCGAAACCCUAAAGAAAAAGACAAAGCCCCAAUCAAUCUGACAUGAAAUCCAAACCCCAAAAUCUCGUUGGGGUUUCGAUCUCAGUCUCAGAGGACACACACGUCCUUCGAUGAAUUGUUCGCCACCCUUCCUCAAACCCUAACCUCGAUUUUCUUUCCGAUUUCCCCUUUCGAUUGCUCGUAUUUUACCUACGCAGAGAGGGAUAGAGAGAGAGAGAGAGGUAGUGAUCGAUAGGCCAUGGAGGGCUCUGUGGCGGAGGAUAUCGGAGCCCCGGAGUCAUGGGAGGUCGCCGGUUUGGACGACGCCUUGAACCGCCUGAUGCUUUCCUCCAACAAGGAUUCCAAGCCCCCCCAAAGCCUUACCGACGUCCCCCCUUUGGUUUCCUCUUCUUCUGACGCUUCUGAUAAGUUUUCCGAGGAUGCCGUCAAUCAGGUCGACCAGUUCCUUCGCGAGGCCUUGCAAAACCCUCGGGAGCGCCUAUCAAUUUUACGAAUGGAGCAAGAUGUGGAGAAGUUUAUCCGUGAUCCUCUUCAGCAGCAACUAGAGUUUCAGCAGUUGCCCACUUCUUAUUUACGCUUGGCUGCACAUCGCGUGGCUCAACAUUAUUCGCUUCAGUCAAUGGUUUUAUUAGAUGAUAAUUUACCUGAUGGCUCUGGUUCCAGAAUUAUUGUCCGCAAAACUCCUGAGUGUCGACUCCCUUUGAUUCGCCUUGCAGACAUCCCUGUUAAUUUACCGUCAGAAGACAGCGGUGUUACUAAGGUUGCAAUAAAACAGAGGCCACAGAAACGGUCACAGGGUGGAAACAGUGCAAACUCAAAUUCGUUAAAGGAAAACAGUGCUAAAAGUGUGGAAGAACGGAAAGAAGAGUAUAACAGGGCUCGUGCACGAAUAUUUAACUCUAGUAUUAAUGUGAGUGGUAGUUCAAGUGGGAAAUCAGAAAGUGAACCAAAACUGCAGGAUACUCCACAACAUGUACCCUUGGUGAUGCCAAAGGUGGAAGAUAUACCAAGUGUUUCUGAUUUGCACUCUGGUAGGGGUUUAAUCGAUUCUUCAACAAGUAGCAGUAGAACAGCUAGAAUUAGGCCAGAGAAGGAGCCAAUUGGGAGGUACAAACCAAAUAAUAGGGUAGCUAUAUUUAGGGAUCGUGAGAUUGACCGUAAAGACCCUGAUUAUGACAGGAGCUAUGACAGGUACAUGCAAAGAUUUGAUCCUGGGUUUGGAUUCAAUGGUGGCCCAUACACCAUCCAGCCUAUGUAUACACCUGCAUUGAACUAUAACACCGAAUUUCCUCAACUUGGUUCUGCACACAGGCCUCAGAUUUCCACUGAACAUCAGGCUCGUCCUCUUCCACAACACCUACCUGGGCCUUGGGUUCCACCAUCGCCCCCUGCUGGCAUUGGGUAUGGUCAUCCGGAGACCAUAAUCACACCAUUUAAUCCGAAUCAUGUUGGUGCACGAUCUACAUCUGGCAUUUAUCUGCAUUCAUCCCAGUAUCCUUGUCAGCGCCCUGGAAUGCCCUUUGUCCAUCCUCAUGAACAUGUUCACCAAUCUUUUUCACAGUCUCAUCAACAGCAAUCUGAUGCAAGUUUUGGGUUAGCCCGGCCCCGGUGAGGGGCAGGGGCUGUGCCUGCACCCUGCCUGCUUGGAGUCGAGCAUGAAGUAUAAUGGGCUGCGAGCCGCACGUGUUUUAGUUGGCAGGAGUGCAGGCAUAGGGAACCAAGGUGGGCUUGAGUGGAUGGACUCAUUUCUAUGGACACAGACAUCAUCUGUUCUCCUCUUCCUUGGUUCCAACGGAAGCUUCUUCCAUCUGUGAUGAAUGAUGAAGAAGCUCCAUGGGUUUGGAAAUUAUAUGUAAACAAGCUCUCUUGAGAGCUUUGUGACCCUAUGAUGACGAAGACGAUUUAGAAGAAUCUGAACAGAGCUGAGAAAGUAUGUCUCUGCUUGGAUGAAGGCUUUGGUUACUUGUUUAGAGAGUAAGCAGCAUCGAUACGUGUCUCUUUGCUGUCUUGAUGCACGGAAAAGAGCCAGUGGGGGUCUGCAUAGGAGGAUUCUUUGGAAUUAUUUGUAUGCCCUUGGGAAGUUUGAUCUGCAUCCAGGUUCUUCUGACAAAAAGAUCUUAUAGUUGAAAAAAAGAAGGUAUUCUGCAUCAUGUUACGUAUCAUACGACACUUCGGUCUGUAAUUAUUUCUUUUAAUACGGUUUAUUUAAAUUCAUAAGAUCUGUUGUAGUAAUUAUAAAACAAACCCGACGCGUAUCUGCAUUUGUCUCGCUUGGGAGAUUCUGAGGAGCCAUUGCCAUGGUGCGAUCAAGUGUUUCAGUUGAAUUCUGAAAUUAAUUCUGGUUACGUUACAAGUAAAAAGUGCCAUAUUGCUGUCAAUUUUUAUUCUAAUAAAAGUUGGCAGUCUUUCUUCUGG